UAAAGGAUAGAAGAGAAAAAAUUAACCAGCUAAUUUCAAUCCUCCCACUGACUUCACCAAGUCAGAUUAAAAAAGAUUUAAUUAAAGCCGACAUUAGGAGCACCUAAAUCAGUCACACUGAUUUACCUAAUGAUAUGGGUGAGCCCUAAUCACCAAGUGAUCUAAUCAAAACCUAACUCACCAGGUUGGCCAGGUAAGUG
rnacentral:lncRNA from 1 species